ensembl:snRNA U6 U6 spliceosomal RNA
GUGCUUGCUUCGGCAGCACAUACACUAAAAUUGGAACAAUACAGAGAUUAGCAUGGCCGCUGCACUAGGAUGACACACAAAUUUGUAAAACACUCCAUUAAAAA